CUUGCUCAAGGGUCUCACAUCAGUCAUGGUAUUAAAGGUGGAAGAGAGCACUGUACAUUCACUUCUCUCAACUUCAAUCCCUGGUAACAGAUAAAAAAUAAUGUAAUGAAAUAUUUCCAGCUUCAUAUGUUGCUUAAAAAUACAUUUCUUUCAUCAAACUACACAUAUUUGUGUGAACGGCCUUCAAAGAAGAAGAAGCCCUGUGUCUCCAGAUCGUGUAAUAACAACAUCCACCAGCAGAGGAGAUCAUGGACCGGAAGAGAAGAGAGAAAACAACACACACCAUGAGACAUGAUCACACAAGAGCUGUCCUUCAGAUAUUAUAUAUCAUCUCAAAACAGAGGAUUUAAUAACCUUCACUAUGAAAUCAGGAUCUUUUCGGCUCCUGAGAGCUUCAGUUUCUGAAAGCACUGUUUAUCAGCAUUUGUUUUAACAGAUACUCAUUAAAUCACACUGUGUUUGAAGGUUAACGUAUCUCUGUACACUUACAGUUCUUCUCUCUCAUAUAAUUUUAAAUUAUCACUUGCUAAUAUAUUCACAUAAAAUAGCUGUUUUGUUGAUGUGAAUGAUUCAGAUUGUUGUACUGAACUCAUCUCUUGCUGAAAUCUUCUCUUGUGGUGAUUCAGUGACUGAUGAAGCUGAUGUCUGUGGUUUAGUCGGUGUGUGGAGUUUGAUGAUGGUUUGUAGGAGGAAAA